GUCCAGGGGCGGGAAUCGAACCCACACCCUUCUGCUUACCGGGCAGGUGCCUUGCCCACUCGGCUACCCUGGA